UGUUUGUGCUGGUGCUGGGCAAGGGCAAGCACGACAUCACGGCCCUGCUGAGCAGAGUGGGCCACCAGCCCAGCAAGUGGCCCAUCUCCGGGGUCAGCCCCAGCUCGGGACAGCUGGUGUGGUAUGUGGAUUACGAGGCUCUGCUGGGGUGAUGCCUCCACAGUGUUCUUUCCUCUCUCGUGUGGCUUUUGCAGCCUGGAUUUUCCUGCACAGACAGAGGCCAGGCUCCUCUGUGGCCAUCCCUGACACCUCCAGGGAGAUCCUCUGACAUUGGGGCCUGGAGGGAGCUGGGCUCAGUGUCCAGUGCAGCAUUUCUGGCUUCUGGCUGAGACUUUGGACAAAUGACCUCACCUUGGAGUGCCUCAGUUUUCCUGUCAGGCCUUUGUGCUUAUUGRCACGUAACUACCUCACAGGCACUACUUGUGACUCCUUAAACCAACUGCCUGCCAAAUUCUUUUCUAAUUUUACGUCAUUCUCAGGCUAAAAGACAAUAAUGACACRUUCAUCCCCUGCCCUGCUCAGUCUGGCUGGGCCAGAGUCCUUGUGUCAGUGAUGUGAUGGUGGUGUGCACAUGGGGCUGGAUCCUUGUCCCUUGUCCCUGUCCUGGAGUGAGCCAGGCUGUCCUGGGAGCACAGACACUCUGGAUCCUUGUCCCUUGUCCCCUUGUCCCCUUGUCCCCAUCCUGGUGUGAGCCAGACUGCCCUGGGAGCACAGACACUUUGGAUCCUUGUCCCUUGUCCCCAUCCUGGAGUGACCCAGGCUCCCCUGCCAGCACAGACACUCUCUGUCUUUUGGRGCAGGUGCCCCCCAAAUCCUGGCCCUGCUCUGGGAGCUCCCUGCAGUCCUGAGCCUUUGCAAACUGCCCAGCAGCAGAGGCUGAGGCUGAAAAUGAAAAUUKACUGCAUUCAUGAAGUGCUGGCUGAUUCCACGGGGCGUGGGGAAGGAAUAAAACCUGCUUUUGGGGCUGUUAAAAUCCUGGGGACAGGGUGAGGAGUGUGGCAGCAGUGCAAUAAUCACUGAGGGAAAAGCUUGSUGCUCACAGGAAUUUUGGGUUUAGCCAGCAGAGAAAUCUUUUUAAACAAAAAUAUCCACRUUAACUUCAUUCCAGUUCUUUGGUGUUUGGUGUGAGGGAACAAGUUUUAAUGAAAAACUGACCUUUGAGAGAGUAACUGUAUUUUUCUGAAUGACAGAGAUUAUUCCUGUCUUACAGGUGAUUGUGGCACUGGAGUUUAAUUAUUUUUGCACAUUUGCUUGGUAACRUGUGGCUGGCACCUCUUGGAAUAAACAGAGAGGUUUAUUUGCACUUUUAAAUAACCACAUGGGGGGUUUUUGUUCUUUGCAGCUGAAAACAGGGUUUAUUUGUGGAGUCUCUGUCUACUGGGUCACCCUAAAAUUUAUCCUAGAUUUUAUUAAAAUCCAUUUAAAGUUCCCACAUAUUUUCCUUGGUGGUUGGARCUAUCUGGGUUGUUUGGGAGAUUUCUCAGAAAUGUAUUUUUUCCCCCACACAGACAAUUCCUGUUAAACUCUUUAAUACUCAGCAUUUGCUAAAUGAAAACCAAAUAUUUUUGAAUAUAGAAAAUUUAUGACUGGAAAGAGAGAGAGUGGAUGGGAGGAAGGGUUAAAUGAGCAGCAAAUCUGAUGGGGAGGAGUGGUAGCAAUCCACUGGGCUGCAGGCCAAGGGAGCAGGGCUAUUUUUAUUUUGUGAAAGUUAUUAAUAGAAGGUGUGCACCUUCUUCAGAGCUUGUAUUAACCUUUCUCUGCAAAGGCAGCUCCGUGGGGUAACUUCUUACAGUCUGUUUCUCCCAAAAGUGAUUAUUGAUACCAAUUUUUAUUAAUUUUUUUUAAUGUCAAUUGCAUUCCUACAACUCAAUGGUGUGAUUAUCUGUUUUACAGAAAACUAACACUGGAAAUAACUCAUUUUUCACUUCAACUUUCAUAAAUGAUGUAAUAAAAUCUUUUUUUUUCCCAUGAGUAAAGUUUUGUAAUUCAAUCUUUUUUUUUUUCUCAUGAGUAAAGUUUUGUAAUUCUUUUCUCAGUGUUUA
rnacentral:lncRNA from 1 species